CACCACAACCUCUGCCUCCCAGGUCCAAGCCAUUCUCCUGCCUACCAAGUAGCUAGGAUUACAGGCACCCAGUACCAUGCCUGGCUAAUUUUUUCUCUGACAUCAUGAGAGUUGGUUGGUUGGUUGUUUUUUUGAGAUGGAGUCUUGCUGUGUCACCCAGGCUGGAAUGCAAUGGCAUGAUUUCGGCUCACUGCAACCUCUGCCUCCUGGGUUCAAGCAAUUCUCCUGCCUCAGCCUCCUGAGGAGCUGGGACUAUAGGCGCGUGCCAACAGGAAUGUUCUUGAAGAGAUGUAUAUAAAUGUUGUAUUUGUUCAUUGAAUCAUCAUGUCACAUGUUUUAGGAAACACUGUUUCAAGAAACCUUGUGAUACAUUUUAUGAUGAUUUAUAUGACCAAUUUUCAAACCCACAUUUGCAGACAUUUUAUUUCAUCCUCAGUUGCAGGCAUUCCAUUAAGGUGGACUGAUUAAAGUGCCUUUUCAGAACAUUAGAACUUCGUGUUUCCUCUUCAUGGGGUUACUGUCAACUUAUUUAAGAAGAACAGUAGAACU
rnacentral:lncRNA from 1 species